rnacentral:rRNA from 1 species
UACGUAGGGUGCGAGCGUUAAUCGGAAUUACUGGGCGUAAAGCGUGCGCAGGCGGUUGUGCAAGACAGAGGUGAAAUCCCCGGGCUUAACCUGGGAAUGGCCUUUGUGACUGCACGGCUAGAGUGUGUCAGAGGGGGGUAGAAUUCCACGUGUAGCAGUGAAAUGCGUAGAGAUGUGGAGGAAUACCGAUGGCGAAGGCAGCCCCCUGGGAUAACACUGACGCUCAUGCACGAAAGCGUGGGGAGCAAACAGG